AGGUUGUGCCCUUGAGGCGUGGCUUCCGGAGCUAACGCGUUAAGUAGACCGCCUGGGGAGUACGGCCGCAAGGUUAAAACUCAAAUGAAUUGACGGGGGCCCGCACAAGCGGUGGAGCAUGUGGUUUAAUUCGAUGCAACGCGAAGAACCUUACCUGGUCUUGACAUCCACAGAAGAAUCCAGAGAUGGAUUUGUGCCUUCGGGAACUGUGAGACAGGUGCUGCAUGGCUGUCGUCAGCUCGUGUUGUGAAAUGUUGGGUUAAGUCCCGCAACGAGCGCAACCCUUAUCCUUUGUUGCCAGCGGUUAGGCCGGGAACUCAAAGGAGACUGCCAGUGAUAAACUGGAGGAAGGUGGGGAUGACGUCAAGUCAUCAUGGCCCUUACGACCAGGGCUACACACGUGCUACAAUGGCGCAUACAAAGAGAAGCGACCUCGCGAGAGCAAGCGGACCUCAUAAAGUGCGUCGUAGUCCGGAUUGGAGUCUGCAACUCGACUCCAUGAAGUCGGAAUCGCUAGUAAUCGUGGAUCAGAAUGCCACGGUGAAUACGUUCCCGGGCCUUGUACACACCGCCCGUCACACCAUGGGAGUGGGUUGCAAAAGAAGUAGGUAGCUUAACCUUCGGGAGGGCGCUUACCACUUUGUGAUUCAUGACUGGGGUGAAGUCGUAACAAGGUAACCGUAGGGGAACCUGCGGUUGGAUCACCUCCUUACCUUAAAGAAGC
rnacentral:rRNA from 1 species